rnacentral:rRNA from 1 species
AUUGAACGCUGGCGGCAUGCCUUACACAUGCCAGUCGAACGGUAACGGGCCUUCGGGUGCCGACGAGUGGCGAACGGGUGAGUAAUACAUCGGAACGUGCCCGAUCGUGGGGGAUAACGAGGCGAAAGCUUUGCUAAUACUGCAUACGAUCUACGGAUGAAAGCAGGGGACCGCAAGGCCUUGCGCGGACGGAGCGGCCGAUGGCAGAUUAGGUAGUUGGUGGGAUAAAAGCUUACCAAGCCGACGAUCUGUAGCUGGUCUGAGAGGAUGAUCAGCCACACUGGGACUGAGACACGGCCCAGACUCCUACGGGAGGCAGCAGUGGGGAAUUUUGGACAAUGGGCGCAAGCCUGAUCCAGCCAUGCCGCGUGCAGGAUGAAGGCCUUCGGGUUGUAAACUGCUUUUGUACGGAACGAAAAGCCUUCUUUUAAUACAGGAGGGUCAUGACGGUACCGUAAGAAUAAGCACCGGCUAACUACGUG